GGCUUGGGACCCAGGACCAGAAUGCUCCGCUGUAGGGCCCCAAAGGGGAGUGGGACAGAGACACAGGUGGUUCAUCCGGGAAGCAGAGGGAGGGCUGGCUACUUGCCACUGCACACACUCUCAGGAGUAGUAUGGGGAGCAUGUGCCUCCUAGAUUUGUGCAUGGGAUGGGGACAGGGUGGGACAUGCUGUCCACUGUGGGCUUGGGGCUCCCUGCCCUACUGCCCUCUCCUUGGGGCCUUUGUGGCCCAGCCCAGGGUAAGACGUGGCACGGCAGGGCAGAAUGGGGCAGGGAAGCUCGGUGCUGCUGCCGUGAGCACUGUGCCAUGAUGAUGAGGUGCUUCCUGCCUGCCUGGUAGCACUGAGGGUGGCGGUACAGAGUUGUGCUCCUUGUUGCUGCUGGGCAGGUAUGGGGUGUCUUGCCAUGGAGGUGCUCCCAGUGGCAGCAAAAAAUUUCCUCACCCGGCCCCACUCUGCCCUGAUGCACUGGGCCCUGUCUGCUGGGCAGCAGAGGUCCUGGGGGGAGAGCAGCAGGGUGGGGAUCCCAAGCCCGCAGCGGGCAGCCUGCAUCCUCCCGACCAUGGGCUCCGUUCUGGCUGUGCUGUCCAUGGGGGAGGGGGAGUUGGACUCUGUGCUCCGCUCUACUGCAGCAGCCACUGCCUCCCAGGUGGAGCUCUGAUUUUCCAUGAUAGAAAACCCAAAAUCAAACACCAAAAUUUAUAGGUAUUUAAAAUUUAUUAUAGUGAUUGAAGCACUGGUAGGCUUUGAAAUUGCUUUAAAAUUGUAAAUAUAUCAAUAAAACAUUAUGUUCAACUGAUACCUAUUAUGUGUAUAUAUAUAUAUGUGUGUGAGUGUGUGUGUGUGUAAUGGCAUUUCAUUUAACUCAUGGAAAAACAUGGAUUUGUGGGUUUUAAACCAGAGAAUUUGUGAUUUUUUUUAUCAGAGAAUUCGUGAUUUUCAAAACAGAGAAAACUAGGACCCCCAAUUAUAAUUGAAUUAGAGACCUUUCUUGUAGGUACUACAAUAGAAUUGGUUUGGGGAUGUAUUUCAAGAAAGGAGAGGUAGUGGCAAUAUGCAUUAGUUCAACAAAGGCCUUUCAUCCAUGUGCUAUAAAGGAAAGCAUGAAAAAGUAAAAUUUGUCAGGAGGGAUAGGGUUAAGACACAAGCUUAGAUUCCAGAUGCUCACCCAUGUGUUUAUAAUGAACACAACCUAGUUUCCUGUUAACAAACAGUAUUCUUUCCACACCCUGAUCUAAACAGUUUGCAGGGUUUAAACAAGUCAAGACUAAAAAACAUCUACUUGACCUGCGUUAUGGUUAAGAGCUGAGACAUUGGGAUUCCACAUAUAAAAGUAUACUAUUAGAGGUGUUGCUGCAGUAGGUUACCAGAAAUGCAAAUCACCCCUAAAGAAUGUGGCUCCAGUUGCACAUUGUACCCUGUUCAAAGGGAAGGCACAAUGACUGUUAAGCAGUGCAAGUCAUGAUGUAUGGGAAAGGAAGGCUAUGAUGAAGCUAGGGCCAUGCCCUUAUCUCUGUCUAUAUUAGUGCAUGAAAUUGUUUAGGUUUGCUGUGGGGGCAGGCAGCACCAUUCAAGUUGCAAUGUAUCUGCAGUGGUGGGGAAAAAGGGAAAGGGAUUCUAUACAAACACUGGUGCCUGCCUGACUGAAUUCAUACAUAUAUAUUUAAUUGCCCCUAGGUAAAAGCUAUGGAAGCAGUGAGUUACAUGGCUGCUCAUAUUCUGCCAUGUCAUACGCUUCAGAGCAGUAACCAGCUACUCUAGCAAAGCUGUGUCUUUUUCUCUGUGUCAGCAUUACAUCACAUCUGUUUCCUGGAUAUUUCUCAUAAACGAGUAUAGGAUUCUUGGGAGAAAGUUACUAAUCAACAAAAUAGCUUACCAUCCAGAGUACAUUUUCAGAGAAAAAACCUGAAUGUAUUUUACAUGAUUAAUUAUUAAUGGAAAAAGUGCAUACACACAAAUAAAAUAUUAAACCCUGUCCUGGUUGAAACCAAAGGUAAAAUCCUUUUCAAUGGGAGGAAGAUCACACCCAAGAAACUGGAGAGCAUUAGACAGACAUACACACACAUGUAUGAGUAUAUGCAUGCAUGUGUGUAUGUGUGUGCCCAGAUGUUCAGAAUGACUAAAUCGUUUUUGGGUCUAGUAUGAUUCUGGGUGUUGAGUGUCCAACUUGUGAUAUAUUGAAAAGGCCUAAUUUUCAAAGGUGGAUGAUUUUGCAGCACUUUUUAAAAAUCAGUUGCCUUUAAAGUAUCUCAGGAUGGGCAUCCGAAAAGUGACUUUUUAAAAUCUGGUGAUAACAUCCAGCAACAGGCAUUCUUCUUACCCAUUAACAGGCUAGGUUACUACCUGCAAGUGUAGGUUAUAUUUUACCACAGUUUUUGAAUGACAUAGAAUACUGAGCAGUAACGAUAAGGAUACUGCAAGAGUAUUUUCUGAAGUCAGUAGUUUCCUCAUGGCAGUCAGUGGUUCAUGAGGAACUGGGACUAUGUUACAGUGUCUAUCUGUCUUUGAGAAGGAUGAGAGAAACAGACUAGAUAGUGGUGGGAGAUGAAAUGAAGGGCAACAGUAGAUGCUGUGCAUUAAACUAGCCCAAAAGUGGUAAAUGACAAAACUCCAAUUAAGUAGCUCUAGCAUUUUGGAUUGUGUUUCAGAAAGGAUAAAACAUAUUGUAUUAAGAUAGUUAAUAAUACAUAACUUUUCCCAUUGUUGCUGUAAAUGCCACAGGGAUGACAUGGUUGUGUGUGGGAAGGGAAGUGGUCUAUGAGCUAAUUUCUCUACUAUGAUGUGGCACAUAUUGUGUAUAAUUGUGAGAACCCUGCUCAAGGCCUUGGUAAACAGAAAUAAAAAUAAUAAUUCUAUGAUCACUAUUUCUAAGAAAAAUUAAGUGUCCUAAUGUGCACUUUUAGUAUUAGUAAUGUCAGAGCUCAUAUACAUCUUAUGUGUAAGCGUCUAUAGGUUUCCCUCAAUUUUUUGCAUAUAUUUUUCAUUAGUUCUACUACAAUAAUACAAAAACAAGAAAGAAAAAAAAGAGGAAUAAUUGAAAAAAAACAACAAUGUUUCAUGAAUGUGAUAUUGUGAAAGAGACUGUGUAAUCUUCUCAAUCAUACUUUCUUCCCAGUUAUCCUAAAUAGUUUAUAUUGUUGAUAGAACAGCAGUGAUAUACGCACAGUAUAGAUUUUCAGUGUAUGUAGGGCUCAAAAGUAGCAAAUGCAACAUUUGAGUUUUGAGGUUUUAUAUGAGCGCCUGUGUACAUAAAGGGGAAGAAUGCUUUUCAGUCCCAGACAAAAACAUGGAAUGGUGAAGAAGCAGAAGUCUCUACUUCAACAAGUAUAACAGCCUCUUCCCUGAGUGCACUGGUUCUCUUACUUAGGAUUAAAGGGAAUGAAAAGCAGAGUCUGAAGAAUAAGUAUUCCCUUCUGACCAUUGUGGUCAGGAGGAGCCCCAGAGAAGGCAGUUUAAAAGGUACCAUCUAUUGAUGUCAUCAAGGAAAAUUAAGUGUCCUUUCCCUUUUCCAGUGUCCAGUCCCAGUAGUACUAAACACAGUGAAAACUGAGAAUGUGGGAAUUCAUGUCAGCUAAACUUCUGCCUAAGAUAGAGAAGAUGAAGACCACCAAUUUCCUAAAAGUAUGGCCAGCCAUAAUGACUUUAAGGGUUCAAAUAGCCAAAUAUCACCAGUUUCCAAAAUACCUUCACUGAGCAUCUCUACACAUGCAUUAAGGCACUUUUUCUAAUACACAUUAAAUUCAGUACCUCCAAUGUGAGAUACUGCACAAAUGCACAUUAGGCUGCCUGCACAGCAACAAAUGCACACCUUUUUUAAAUGAGACAAUGCUCAGUAGCCUAUUUUACUGCACAUUAGCAUAAUCGUAUGUUGUUUUUUUUAUGCAGUAAAAUAGGCUACUGCACAUUAAAGCACAUGUGUAGCCCACUGUGUCAUAACUAUAUAGGCAAGGAAGUAGCAAAAGUAUGCACCUCCAUAGGAAAGCAAUACCAUUUGUUGCUUCUGAGAGCUGUACGUAUUAAAUACAUUUCUCAGCAUGAUUAGAGAAGCAGUGAUUUACACUUCCAGCAAAAUGGAGCUUUAAGGCAUUGCUUUUUUAGGAUUUUGUCUAUAUAUGGAGUUUCUAGGAAGCUGACCUCUUAUGUCAGUAGAAAAUGGUCUUCUGCUCUUAUUCCAGUGGAAAGAUGAGAGCAAUAGAAAUAAAAUUAUAUUGUCAGGGGAGAUGCAAAAUCACUCAUUCAUUGUUGGAGGACUGCUCUUCACUUUUGCUAUUCUUCAGUCUUGUUUCUUUGAAAUGUCCUUAAAGGUCUUAUUAAAAUUAAGAGAGUAUGCCUGAAUAACAGUGUGACCUCAAAUAGGUCCUGGUUUUCAACAGUAACAGAACUAUUCCUUUUUGAACUUUUGAUUUUCUGGCUAUAUUUGUUAAGAUUAUGAAACAUAAAAAAUGUUUUUAAUUGAAGUUACAGAACUCUGUUUUCACCUUUAACCUUUCUAUUGAGUUUAUCAUACAAAGAACAACAUUCUCAUUUUCAACAUCCAGUUGAAACUCCUGGGCCGAUUCUUUGGAAUCAUAUGAGUAAAUUUAGGAACCAGCCAAUGGAUCUCUAGGUCAUCCUAGAUGUGGACUGGCUAAUGCUCUCCUGCACCUGCACCACCUUCACUAACACGAGCAAUAACCACCAGCACCAGCAUGACAGUCUCCACCCCAAUUUCAGUUCCCAGCAUGAGCCUUCCAGUGCCAGAGGAAGAGCUGGAUCUGGAAGCAGUGGAGCUGAGUGCCAUAGCUAAGGAAAGUCUGGGUUCAUCGGUGUCCCAUUCCUGGCAGACUGUAUCUGGGAUCCAGUGCUCCAUCCCAGCCCUAUUCUCGCUGUGCUUCCAGUCUCCAGCAGAGUCCCAAUGACUCCACACCUCUCCUGACUCUCCUCCCUCUGCACAGAACUUGAUUGAAGAUUCCUUGGAGAGUGGUCAGGAAUCUUUCUCUACCAUAAUACUGGUUGUGUUUCUUUGUGCUGAAGUUAACUACAUGGUACCUGAACACCAGGUAGGCAAAAAGACAGGCAUUCCACUGCCUGUUUUUCAACAGCAAGCUGCACCUAUUUAUAGAAUGAAGAUAAAGAGUUUUCUUCCUAUCAAGAUUCUAAGUGCAAGAGAAGAGGAAAAGAUCAAAAUGGUGUUACAUUCCUUGGAGUUUUUCCAUAGUUUUGGUCAGAUGCAUAUGAGGAGCUUUCGUGUCUGCUGGUGAGAAGGUCUGAGAACUGUUCAAGAAGUUAUUCAGGAGCUCCAGAUUUUUAUUUAUAAUUACAGUGGGCUUUAAUUUGAGAUAUUUGCUUCCUAACAUGUCUUUCCGUUACUGUUUAUAUAUUAUCUUUCAGUUUUUCUAUGGAUCUGGCUUCAUUUUGGAAACUGACAUAAAUUCACACCCUACUCCUUCUCUUCUUCUGGGACAGUUUGUUUCUAAAUGAUGAAAACAGAGGUUCUCAUUUAAUGAAUAUCCUCCUUGCCUUAAUGGCAAGAGGGUGAGUGCCACCUCUCAACACUGUUCAACUUUGAUUAGCUACAUUCCUUAAUGGGGUAAGAGAUUUUUGGAAGAGAAGAGACUGUGGAGUUAGAUGUGCUGUGUGCAUUGUUGACCCUAAAAGUCCUACAAUAUAAAUUUAUUAUUUUUGGACUGUGGAAACCUUUAUGUAGAAUAUUUAAUGGUUCCAAGUGUAACCUCAUGGCUCUAUCACAAUUUUGAGUUCCAAGUCUAAACUAAACAAUGUUUUAAGGCUGCAGGUUGGAUUGAUUCAGUUCUGGUCAGAGUCGGGCCAUUAGAUGGAUAGGCACUAGGACCCAGCCACUGCCACUUUGCACAGCAGUGGCAUCAGGGAGUGACUACUAUUGAAUGCUGCUUCUGUCCUUGGGCCAGAUCAGCACUGAGAGAAGUAAUUAGUCAUGUUAAUCUGAAGUUGGUCAGAAGGCAAGGUAGAUAUGUACCUUUAUAGACUAAAUAAAAUUUAUAUAAAACUC